rnacentral:rRNA from 1 species
UCCAGACUCCUACGGGAGGCAGCAGUGGGGAAUAUUGCACAAUGGGGGGAACCCUGAUGCAGCGACGCCGCGUGGGUGAAGAAGCGCCUCGGCGCGUAAAGCUCUAUCAGCAGGGAAGAAAAUGACGGUACCUGACUAAGAAGCCCCGGCUAACUACGUGCCAGCAGCCGCGGUAAUACGUAGGGGGCAAGCGUUACCCGGAUUUACCGGGUGUAAAGGGAGCGUAGACGGUCCUGCAAGCCAGAUGUGAAAGCCCGGGGCUCAACCCCGGGACUGCAUUUGGAACUGUAAGGCUAGAGUGUCGGAGGGGCAGGCGGAAUUCCUGGUGUAGCGGUGAAAUGCGUAGAUAUCAGGAGGAACACCGGUGGCGAAGGCGGCCUGCUGGACUGCGACUGACGUUGAGGCCCGAAAGCGUGGGGAGCAAACAGGAUUAGAUACCCCUGUAAA